CCUACGGGGGGCAGCAGUGGGGAAUAUUGCACAAUGGGCGCAAGCCUGAUGCAGCCAUGCCGCGGGUGUGAAGAAGGCCUUCAGGUUGUAAAGCACUUUCAGCGGGGAGGAAGGCGGUGAGGUUAAUAACCUCAUCGAUUGACGUUACCCGCAGAAGAAGCACCGGCUAACUCCGUGCCAGCAGCCGCGGUAAUACGGAGGGUGCAAGCGUUAAUCGGAAUUACUGGGCGUAAAGCGCACGCAGGCGGUCUGUCAAGUCGGAUGUGAAAUCCCCGGGCUCAACCUGGGAACUGCAUUCGAAACUGGCAGGCUAGAGUCUUGUAGAGGGGGGUAGAAUUCCAGGUGUAGCGGUGAAAUGCGUAGAGAUCUGGAGGAAUACCGGUGGCGAAGGCGGCCCCCUGGACAAAGACUGACGCUCAGGUGCGAAAGCGUGGGGAGCAAACAGGAUUAGAUACCCGGGUAGUC
rnacentral:rRNA from 1 species